AAUCCGUGUUGUGGGCACCUCUGCAAAAGGUCCUUGAAACACUCCCAUGUCUCAAACAAUGAUUCCAAUUCCAUCUAUACGAAUGAUGAUUUCUCAUUGCCAAGCUU